UGCCAGACUCCUACGGGAGGCAGCAGUGGGGAAUAUUGGUCAAUGGGCGCGAGCCUGAACCAGCCAAGUCGCGUGAGGGAUGAAGGAUCUAUGGUUCGUAAACCUCUUUUAUAAGGGAAUAAAGUGCGGGACGCGUCCCGCUUCGCAUGUACCUUAUGAAUAAGGAUCGGCUAACUCCGUGCCAGCAGCCGCGGUAAUACGGAGGAUCCGAGCGUUAUCCGGAUUCAUUGGGUUUAAAGGGUGCGUAGGUUGUUUUAUAAGUUAGCGGUGAAAUACCGAUGCUCAACAUCGGGGCUGCCGCUAAUACUGUAGGACUAGGGAUCGGAUGCAGCAGGCGGAAUGUGUAGUGUAGCGGUGAAAUGCAUAGAUAUUACACAGAACACCGAUUGCGAAGGCAGCUUGCUAGGCCGGAUCUGACACUGAUGCACGAAAGCGUGGGGAUCGAACAGGAUUAGAUACCCGUGUAG
rnacentral:rRNA from 1 species